CAUGUGUAGCGGUGAAAUGCGUAGAUAUAUGGAGGANCACCGGUGGCGAAAGCGGCUCUCUGGUCUGUCACUGACGCUGAGGCUNGAAAGCGUGGGUAGCGAACAGGAUUAGAUACCCUGGUAGUNCACGCCGUAAACGCUGAGUGCUAGGUGUUAGGUCCNUUCCGGGACUUAGUGCCGACGCUAACGCAUUAAGCACUCCGCCUGGGGAGUACGACCGCAAGGUUGAAACUCAAAGGAAUUGACGGGGGCCCGCACAAGCGGUGGAGCAUGUGGUUUAAUUCGAAGCAACGCGAAGAACCUUACCAGGUCUUGACAUCCCGAUGCCCGCUCUAGAGAUAGAGUUUUUCUUCGGAACAUCGGAGACAGGUGGUGCAUGGUUGUCGUCAGCUCGUGUCGUGAGAUGUUGGGUUAAGUCCCGCAACGAGCGCAACCCUUAUUGUUAGUUGCCAUCAUUAAGUUGGGCACUCUAGCGAGACUGCCGGUAAUAAACCGGAGGAAGGUGGGGAUGACGUCAAAUCAUCAUGCCCCUUAUGACCUGGGCUACACACGUGCUACAAUGGUUGGUACAACGAGUCGCAAGCCGGUGACGGCAAGCUAAUCUCUGAAAGCCAAUCUCAGUUCGGAUUGUAGGCUGCAACUCGCCUACAUGAAGUCGGAAUCGCUAGUAAUCGCGGAUCAGCACGCCGCGGUGAAUACGUUCCCGGGCCUUGUACACACCGCCCGUCACACCACGAGAGUUUGUAACACCCAAGGUCGGUGAGGUAACCAUUUAUGGGGCCAGCC
rnacentral:rRNA from 1 species